AUUGAACGCUGGCGGCAGGCCUAACACAUGCAAGUCGAGCGGUAGCACAGAGAGCUUGCUCUCGGGUGACGAGCGGCGGACGGGUGAGUAAUGUCUGGGAAACUGCCUGAUGGAGGGGGAUAACUACUGGAAACGGUAGCUAAUACCGCAUAACGUCGCAAGACCAAAGUGGGGGACCUUCGGGCCUCAUGCCAUCAGAUGUGCCCAGAUGGGAUUAGCUAGUAGGUGGGGUAAUGGCUCACCUAGGCGACGAUCCCUAGCUGGUCUGAGAGGAUGACCAGCCACACUGGAACUGAGACACGGUCCAGACUCCUACGGGAGGCAGCAGUGGGGAAUAUUGCACAAUGGGCGCAAGCCUGAUGCAGCCAUGCCGCGUGUGUGAAGAAGGCCUUCGGGUUGUAAAGCACUUUCAGCGGGGAGGAAGGCGAUAAGGUUAAUAACCUCAUCGAUUGACGUUACCCGCAGAAGAAGCACCGGCUAACUCCGUGCCAGCAGCCGCGGUAAUACGGAGGGUGCAAGCGUUAAUCGGAAUUACUGGGCGUAAAGCGCACGCAAGCGGUCUGUCAAGUCGGAUGUGAAAUCCCCGGGCUCAACCUGGGAACUGCAUUCGAAACUGGCAGGCUAGAGUCUUGUAGAGGGGGGUAGAAUUCCAGGUGUAGCGGUGAAAUGCGUAGAGAUCUGGAGGAAUACCGGUGGCGAAGGCGGCCCCCUGGACAAAGACUGACGCUCAGGUGCGAAAGCGUGGGGAGCAAACAGGAUUAGAUACCCUGGUAGUCCACGCCGUAAACGAUGUCGAUUUGGAGGUUGUGCCCUUGAGGCGUGGCUUCCGGAGCUAACGCGUUAAAUCGACCGCCUGGGGAGUACGGCCGCAAGGUUAAAACUCAAAUGAAUUGACGGGGGCCCGCACAAGCGGUGGAGCAUGUGGUUUAAUUCGAUGCAACGCGAAGAACCUUACCUGGUCUUGACAUCCACAGAACUUUCCAGAGAUGGAUUGGUGCCUUCGGGAACUGUGAGACAGGUGCUGCAUGGCUGUCGUCAGCUCGUGUUGUGAAAUGUUGGGUUAAGUCCCGCAACGAGCGCAACCCUUAUCCUUUGUUGCCAGCGGUCCGGCCGGGAACUCAAAGGAGACUGCCAGUGAUAAACUGGAGGAAGGUGGGGAUGACGUCAAGUCAUCAUGGCCCUUACGACCAGGGCUACACACGUGCUACAAUGGCAUAUACAAAGAGAAGCGACCUCGCGAGAGCAAGCGGACCUCAUAAAGUAUGUCGUAGUCCGGAUUGGAGUCUGCAACUCGACUCCAUGAAGUCGGAAUCGCUAGUAAUCGUAGAUCAGAAUGCUACGGUGAAUACGUUCCCGGGCCU
rnacentral:rRNA from 1 species